UCUGUCUUCCCAGGUUCUCCUAAUGCCAUACAUUGGCAUUUCCAACGGAAGCUAUCUCACCCUGCUACCCACUGGAACCACUUCCUGCUGUGGCCUCAUCCUUCUAUCAUUUUAAAAUUAUUUUUGUCUGCCCAUCCGUCCACCGCUGUGGGCUGGUAGCUCAUGGAGGGCACUGACCAUUGAUCAGACACUUAAUGUGUGCAGAACACUGGUCUAAGCACAAGGAAAGACCACCCAGGUGGGAAUAUACAUGUAUCUUGUUUUGGUCACACUAUCUCCAACGCUUAUCGCAGUGUUUCACACUCAGUAGGUGCUCAGGAAACAGUACUGAUGAUGGUGACGAUAGUGGUCUAGUCUCGAAGCCUCAUAUCCAUGCCUGAAAACAGAAAGCAAUCCACUCUGGGAGUUUGGCAUCCUUUGCCCUCAGUGAGGUUGGACGCCAUUUUGGGAUACUUUGGCUCUAUCGCGAGUGAUGCUUUGGAACCUAUCAGUCAUUGGCCAACCUACCAUCUGGAACCAUAGCAAGAAGCAGAUGCUCAUCUGCUGUGUGACCUCGGGCAUGCCACUUCACGUCUCUGUGCCUCAGAACAAGGGGAACCACUGAAGAUUCUUCAGGAUGAGAGAGACGGGCUCGGAUUGCAGCUGUGUGUCGGACUGACCGAAGAGGAGAGAGGCGGGGAGGUCGGUCAUGUUCUGCUGGAUCUGGUUCACCCUUGUGGCAGGACUUGAACAUUUCUCCCUAAAACGCAGGUUAGUACGUACCACUGACCGAGCGAAAUUACAGUUAAACUUUUUUUUUUUUUAAAAAAAAGACAACCCGUGUAUCA